rnacentral:rRNA from 1 species
GACGAACGCUGGCGGCGUGCUUAACACAUGCAAGUCGAGCGGUAAGGCCCCUUCGGGGGUACACGAGCGGCGAACGGGUGAGUAACACGUGAGCAAUCUGCCCUUCACAUCGGGAUAACCUCGGGAAACCGAAGCUAAUACCGGAUACGACCAUCGAAGGCAUCUUCUGAUGGUGGAAAGUUCCGGCGGUGAAGGAUGAGCUCGCGGCCUAUCAGCUUGUUGGUGGGGUAAUGGCCUACCAAGGCGACGACGGGUAGCCGGCCUGAGAGGGUGACCGGCCACACUGGGACUGAGACACGGCCCAGACUCCUACGGGAGGCAGCAGUGGGGAAUAUUGGACAAUGGGCGAAAGCCUGAUCCAGCAACGCCGCGUGAGGGAUGACGGCCUUCGGGUUGUAAACCUCUUUCAGCAGGGACGAAGCGCAAGUGACGGUACCUGCAGAAGAAGCACCGGCCAACUACGUGCCAGCCGCCGCGGUAA